ACUCCUACGGGAGGCAGCAGUGGGGAAUAUUGCACAAUGGGCGCAAGCCUGAUGCAGCCAUGCCGCGUGUGUGAAGAAGGCCUUCGGGUUGUAAAGCACUUUCAGUAAGGAGGAAAGGUUAGUAGUUAAUACCUGCUAGCUGUGACGUUACUUACAGAAGAAGCACCGGCUAACUCCGUGCCAGCAGCCGCGGUAAUACGGAGGGUGCGAGCGUUAAUCGGAAUUACUGGGCGUAAAGCGUGCGUAGGCGGCUUGGUAAGCCGGUUGUGAAAGCCCCGGGCUCAACCUGGGAACGGCAUCCGGAACUGUCAGGCUAGAGUGCAGGAGAGGAAGGUAGAAUUCCCGGUGUAGCGGUGAAAUGCGUAGAGAUCGGGAGGAAUACCAGUGGCGAAGGCGGCCUUCUGGACUGACACUGACGCUGAGGUACGAAAGCGUGGGUAGCAAACAGGAUUAGAUACCCUGGUAGGCUCUG
rnacentral:rRNA from 1 species